rnacentral:rRNA from 1 species
GACGAACGCUGGCGGCGUGCUUAACACAUGCAAGUCGAGCGGUAAGGCCCUUUCGGGGGUACACAAGCGGCGAACGGGUGAGUAACACGUGGGCGACCUACCCUCAGCUUCGGGAUAAGCCUGGGAAACUGGGUCUAAUACCGGAUAUGACCUUCCCUCGCAUGGGGGUUGGUGGAAAGUUUUUUCGGCGUGGGAGUGGGCCCGCCGGCCUAUCAGCUUGUUGGUGGGGUGAUGGCCUACCAAGGCGACGACGGGUAGCCGGCCUGAGAGGGCGACCGGCCACACUGGGGACUGAGAUACGGCCCAGACUCCUACGGGAGGCAGCAGUGGGGAAUAUUGCGCAAUGGGCGGAANCCUGACGCAGCGACGCCGCGUGGGGGAUGACGGCCUU